ACAACAGCAUUUGGACCGUCGGUCUAUCGAGCAAAUAACACCCGCUCGAUGGAAGAUCUUCCUUUCGUCGUUCAGC
rnacentral:pre_miRNA from 1 species